GCGAGGAUGGCGAAACCGGCAGACGCGCUGGACUUAGGAUCCAGUGCCGCAAGGCAUGGGGGUUCAACUCCCUCUCCUCGCA
rnacentral:tRNA from 1 species